rnacentral:rRNA from 1 species
AGUCUCAGUUCGGAUCGCAGGCUGCAACUCGCCUGCGUGAAGUUGGAAUUGCUAGUAAUCGCGGAUCAGCAUGCCGCGGUGAAUACGUUCCCGGGCCUUGUACACACCGCCCGUCACACCAUGGGAGUCGGAAAUGCCCGAAGCCGGUGACCCAACCUUAGGGAGGGAGCUGUCGAAGGUGGAGCCGGUAACCGGGGUGAAGUCGUAACAAGGUAGC